rnacentral:tRNA from 1 species
UGGGCGGUUAGCUCAGUUGGUAGAGCAAUGCCCUUACAAGGCAUGGGUCACAAGUUCGAGUCUUGUACCGCCCACCAC